ACAUAAAUUCUUUUGCGCAUUCAGAAGAUGGAGAUGAGAAGUGCCACCCUAUGCUUCCUCAUCAUACUUGUGUUACUUGGAAGUUGUACUCACGCAGAGAACUGCAACUCUCAUGAAAUUACAAUUGAUGCAUGCGUGAAGCCAAUUUGUAAGUUGGUAUGUCUCGCUUCCUAUAGGAAGCAUUUGAGGGAGUAUGAUUGCACGGGCAACCCACCGGUUAUUUGUGUUUGCUAUGUAUGCGAUGAUUAGGCUUUGUAAGAUGAAUGUCCUGAGGGUCAUCAGAUAUGCUACAUAAUAAAUGAGGACCCUGGAAAUGCCAUCUUUGCCAUCGCCCUCUCCAUGUCCACCUUGUUUAGUGGAAUAAUUCUUCUGCUAGUAAUUUUGAA